ensembl:snRNA U2 U2 spliceosomal RNA
AUUGAUUCUUGGCCUUUUGGAAAAGAUCAAGCAUAAGUAUCUGUUCUUAUCAGUUUAAGUUCUGAUAAGUCCUCUAUCCCAUGACAACAUAUUAAGUGAAUUUUUGGAACAGGGAGAUGGAGUAGGAACUUGCUCUUUCCACAUUGCAUAUCGACCCGGUUUUGUACUACCUUUGGGGAAUUGGGAAUGCCCUG